GUUUUAAUAGUUUAAAAAAAAUAUUGAUUUUGUAAAUCAAAGAAAAAUAAUUACAUUUUUAAAACU
rnacentral:tRNA from 1 species